rnacentral:lncRNA from 1 species
UACUAUCUUAUGUUUAUCCUAUCCUAUCUCAUCUCCAUGCCUAGAUUAAAAUCUCUCCACUUUUGUGGGACAAAGGGUGAGGCUUUUACCGUAGAAAUUGGUUUCUGAGAGAAAGGGGGUGUGAAACAGAGAGGGGACGGGCUACUGUGCGAUAGAAAGAGGAAAACUAUUUUCUCUUUGGGCGUAUGUUCUAGGAUGGGGUUCUGGGGUUUCGACUCUAUUUUUUAUGAGAAAAAAAAUCAAGAGAGUCUUGUUUUAUACUUCCUACACCACCACCUCUUCCUAUUAUUUCAUCUUCUGAUCUGGAAGAGUCCAGAUGAUCCAAAGG